ensembl:lncRNA
CCCACGCUGUAGUACCGUGAAAACUAGUUGGAUCAUUUGGUUCUUUCGUUCAGGAACAGGAACAAUUCUUUUUUGUAAGGUUUGUAAGGUACAAGCUAUAUGCUUUGAAUUGGACAAUACAACAUGUGGAUUAUCACAUUGUUUUACUACAAUUUGAUGAACUCCCGAAACAAAGAUCAAGAUAUUUUUGGACAUCGGACUGAAAGUUAUUAAACGCUGAGUCAUCUAUAUAGCUAUGCAGUUUGAAAAGGAAGGGCUAGAGCACCUGGUCAAGCUGGAGAAAGUCCUACUCUCUGGUCAAGUUGAUGACGUGGUUGACCUGUAUCCAGAGCUACAGUUCCAGUCCCUAAAGAACAUUUUAACCAAAUGCUUUCAAAAAGUGGUGGGGACAAAAUCAGCCAUUUCAAAAAGUGGUGGGGACAUGUCCCCAGCGUCCCCAGUGUAAAUGACACCUAUUCCUGUCACUAUAUGCAAGCAGUUGCCAAGAUGCGUUGUUGACCUUGGGGAUGCUGUUGCCUGGGUAAAUGCAAACAGUUCAUUUUGUCAGUGUUGGAAUUUAAUGUUUUGAAUAUUUGAUCAGGUGAUUAAAUGUUUAAUUGUCUA